GACGAACGCUGGCGGCAGGCCUAACACAUGCAAGUCGAGCGGCAGCGGGUCCCCGCGAGGGGAUGCCGGCGAGCGGCGGACGGGUGAGGAACACAUCGGAAUCUGCCUGGGUUGUGGGGGAUAACGUAGGGAAACUUACGCUAAUACCGCAUGAGACCCUGAGUCGACGGACUGGGGGUGAAAGUGAGGGACCUUCGGGCCUCACGCGACCAGAUGAGCCGAUGUCGGAUUAGCUAGUUGGCGGGUAACGGCCCGCCAAGGCGACGAUCCGUAGCUGGUCUGAGAGGAUGAUCAGCCACACUGGGACU
rnacentral:rRNA from 1 species